UUCCCUCGCUUUGCCAUAUAGUGUGUUUGUGUGUGUGAAAAUACAUUUUCCCUCGCUUUGCCAUAUAGUGUGUUUGUGUGUGUGUGUGUGUGUGUGUGUGUGUGUGUGUGUGUGUGUGUGUGUGUGUGUAUAUCCUUAGUCUAUAAUAUAAAUGAGGAAAACCGGAAGAUUUGAUCAUGUUUUACUAUUUAUAAUGGUUAAAAAACGACCAUCUUUUCAGCAUUUUACAUUUUUUUGUGCUUUUAGUUUGCAUAUCCAUAAAUACACUUUAGUGAUCAUUUUAUCUCUUUAUAUUUAGGCAUUUCGUUUAGCAAUUUGGAAGAAUUCGAGGGCUAUUAACAUCUUUUCAAGUAUUUACUAACUUUUGUAGGGGAAGUGAUCUUUUCUUGCCUAUGGAUUCUUCUUUCCUUCUUCCAUUGAAGUUCGGAGUCACCUCCAAAAGAAAAAGGCCAAAAAAAAAAAAAAAAAAAAAGAAAGGAAGAAAAGAAAAAGAACUCUAGAAUCUGUUUCAAUUUCAUCUAGCUUAUCUGAGAUGGGUUGGAUAAAUAAAUGGGAAAAAAUGGAGUUUUUGAAAGAGUAAUGAAAGAGAAGAAAGAUGAAGAGAGAGAGAGAGAGAGUUUGGAGAGAAAAAACAGCACCACCCACUCUCACAUCAAAAAGGGCAUCAGGUGCCACAUCAUUGUUGAUUUGAUAGAUGAUUCUUCAUUUUUGAAUGUUACAUUAUUCGAAAAUCAAGCUGAAAAUUUUCUUGAUUGCACUGCAUAUGAGUUGAUGAAUAACUCUGAUGGGGUAAUAUAAUUCUUUACAUAUCUAUUUGAGGAAAUGAGUUGUUAGUUUUAACUUCUUCUUUGAAAAAACAUAUAUAAAUUAUGCAAAUGCUUAUGUGAGUACUAAUUAUGAAUCUUUUUUUUAGGAUACUGUUAAAGAUAUUGAAAAAAUUGCUACAUUAUCCAGUAGUCAUAAGCUUCUAAUUGUUAAAGCAUCUAAACAUGAAUAUCAUAAUAUUAUAAGAUGAAAAUACACAAUUCUUUCUAUUUGUGAUACUCUUUCAAAAGAAAUCAAUACAUUGACACAAACAAAUGUCUCAACCGAUGUUGAAGUUAGUCAGGUUUUAUAAAUUGUUGAAGAGUAAAGUGGAAAAUCAUUGGACAUAAGUGAAUUGAGAGGUAUGAACAUGUUUGAUAUAUUAUAUCUUAAGUGAAAUUACAUGGAUUUUUAUUUAAUGUUCUGAUGCAUGUAUAUUGGAACUUUCAAAAUCAGAUAUGUCUAGAAAUAUUGACGAUGCUAAGAUAGAACAAGUAAACAAUGAAGAUAAAAUCUUAGCUAAUUUGGUUUUAAAGCCUGUUACAAGAAAUAAGGCAACAAAGAAACUAAAGCUAAUGGCUUUCAAAAGUGCAGGUGAGGCAGAUCCAAUAGUGCUGAAUGUUGAAAAUAUUUAGAAUUUGAUGAAGGAAGUAAGAAGCCGCUUGCCAAGUUUAAAGACAAUGCUUAGUUUGUCAUCACGGGAACCAUCUUUUUGUUAAUAUUAACAUGAUAGAUUAUUAUCAGCUUUUUGUGAACUCAUAGCACAUUUUGACUAUAUUAUGAUGGUAACACUAACAUUAUUAUUUUGUACAUUGCAAGAUAUAAUAAAAACUUGAUUUAGGUAUAACCUAAUACAUUUCUAUUAAAUCUUGCAAUUUAUCUUAGAAAGAUAGCAAAUUUAUCUUAGGAAGAUAGCAAUGAUGCUAAGAUAGUUUCAUCUAUGACAUAAGUAUUUUGUGACAACUUUUUAUUUAAUGAAAGUAAAAUAGUAUUUAUAAGCUUUUAAGAUUGUACUUAUAUUUUCUAUGAUUAUUUUUUAUUUUUGUGCUUCUUGUAGUUAAUAUAUAAAUCCAUAAAUG